CCUACGGUGUGCAGCAGUGAGGAAUCUUGGUCAAUGGACGAGAGUCUGAACCAGCCAAGUAGCGUUAAGGAUGACUGCCCUCUGGGUUGUAAACUUCUUUUAUAUGGGAAUAAAAUGUUCCACGUGUGGGAUUUUGUAUGUACCAUAUGAAUAAGGAUCGGCUAACUCCGUGCCAGCAGCCGCGGUAAUACGGAGGAUACGAGCGUUAUCCGGAUUUAUUGGGUUUAAAGGGAGCGUAGGUGGAUUGUUAAGUCAGUUGUGAAAGUUUGCGGGUCAACCGUAAAAUUGCAGUUGAAACUGGCAGUGUUGAGUACAGUAGAGGUGGGCGGAAUUCGUGGGGUAGCGGUGAAAUGCUUAGAUAUCACGAAGAACUCCGAUUGCGAAGGCAGUUCACUGGACUGCAACUGACACUGAGGCUCGAAAGUGUGGGUAUCAAACAGGAUUAGAUACCCCAGUAGUC
rnacentral:rRNA from 1 species